AUUCACCCCGGAGGGUGUUACUUUCAACAUAUCCAGGAGGACAAAGUCGGCAUCCAAGUCGUUCACGUAUCCUAGGUUCCCGGGCUCUCCAGCAUUGUGUCCGGUUGAAUGCCUGAGGACUUAUCUGGAUGCUACUCGAUCUUUUCGUUCCUUGGACUUGCAUCCUCUAUUCGUGUCUUUUAGGACACCUCAUAGGCCUGUUUCGUCUCUGACUCUGGCACGAUGGGUACGCU